UAGCACUGAGGUGGUUUCAUGAAAGAGGAAGCAGCAAGGCUGGGCCUUGAAGAACGUGAAGGAGUCACCCAGCUAGAGAGGGCAGGAGGGUGUUCCACGAAGUACAAACAUCAUGAACAGAAAGUCAAAGAGUGAAAGUGAAGGGAGGAUUGGGGAGCAGUGAACAGACAAUGUGAGAGAGCUGCGGCACCAUGGAGAAGAGUAAUGAGAGGGACAUCCUGAAGGAAAGACAAUAUGAAGGACUGUCGAUGCCAAAGAAAGGACUUUCAGCCAUAUGCACGCAAUGGGGAGCAAUGCAAGAUUGUCAACCAAGAGACUGAGGUGACCAGAUCUGCUUCACAGCAGCAGCAGCAGCAGUGUACAUGGAAGAUUAGAGGACCGAGAGAGAUGCAUGUCAGGAAAAUCAGCUAACAGACUCUAAAAUAACUAAGACUUGAGAAAGAUCUGGAUCAAAGCUUUAACAGCAGCAAUAAAGAAAAAAGAAGAGACAUUUCUGUAAUCAGAUCUAGAAAAGUUGAUGACCCCCAGGAUAACAGCCAUGAAAGUGCUGCUACCACAAACAUGAGGAAACUUCUGUUAGGAGUUCAACCUUCAGAGAGGACAGCUGGCAGUGCAAGAUGGUGACAGCCCUGCAAUCAGGAGAAGAAAGUCAUGAGAGCUGUUUCUCCAGGUUUCCCGCCUCCUUCCACCUUCUGUACAGGACACACCAGUUCCCUCAAGCCCAAAAUGUGAGCAGCUGUCAUUCUCUGCAUAGCCAAGCUCGGCAG
rnacentral:lncRNA from 10 species